CGCAGUUUGCCGUUGCUCCGGUAAAAGUGCGCCAUUCCUCGCAGCCGUUACUGCCUGGGUAACACAAUAGAGGAAAGCACUCGCUGGGCCUGAUCUUUCCUAAUUGGGGCAACACAGAGCCAACGUCCCGCCCCCUUAUCCAAUCAAGCCUCGGUUACAGUUAAAGGGGAGCUCCGCUAUUUUUCACUACCACACCUGUUUACAGGGCCGUGCCGCUUCCGUCUGCCAAACGCCUGGGCACCCACAUUGGUGGGAACGAAGUUGCUGUGUCCCAGUCCUCCUGACCGACUCAGGAAGUCAGCCAGACGGAAUAACGCCACAGCUCUCACCUGGAAGGAGCUGCCUGUGAGAUGUACAUCUGACAGAUGAUCAGCGCAGAGGCAAAAAGGAGAGACCAGAGUUUCAGCAUUAUUCUGAUUCCCUGUGGAAAACACAUACAAUACCAAACAAGAGACUCUCCUUCUGCCUGUAUGUUCCAAGCGGCAACCUCCGGCGCUGUAAAAGGAAGCUGUGAUGGCCACUUGAGGCUGGCUCCAGAAGCCAGUCAGUUCCCACACAACUGCAUGUUGAAAUGCCCAAAUUUACAGCAGAAAUAAAUACAUUUAC